CAAAACGAAGAAAAUUAUGCAAACAAUUUAUUGGAAG
rnacentral:sRNA from 1 species